UACGUAGGGGGCAAGCGUUGUCCGGAAUUAUUGGGCGUAAAGCGCGCGCAGGCGGUUCAUUAAGUCUGGUGUUUAAGCCCAGGGCUCAACCCUGGUUCGCACUGGAAACUGAUGGACUUGAGUGUAGGAGAGGAAAGUGGAAUUCCACGUGUAGCGGUGAAAUGCGUAGAGAUGUGGAGGAACCCCAGUGGCGAAGGCGACUUUCUGGCCUAUAACUGACGCUGAGGCGCGAAAGCGUGGGAGCAAACAGG
rnacentral:rRNA from 1 species